AUUGAACGCUGGCGGCAUGCCUUACACAUACAAGUCGAACGGCAGCGGGGGAGAAGCUUGCUUUUCCUGCCGGCGAGUGGCGAACGGGUGAGUAAUACAUCGGAACGUGCCCUGUAGUGGGGGAUAACUAGUCGAAAGAUUAGCUAAUACCGCAUACGACCUGAGGGUGAAAGUGGGGGACCGCAAGGCCUCAUGCUAUAGGAGCGGCCGAUGUCUGAUUAGCUAGUUGGUGGGGUAAAGGCCUACCAAGGCGACGAUCAGUAGCUGGUCUGAGAGGACGAUCGGCCACACUGGGACUGAGACACGGCCCAGACUCCUACGGGAGGCAGCAGUGGGGAAUUUUGGACAAUGGGCGAAAGCCUGAUCCAGCAAUGCCGCGUGUGUGAAGAAGGCCUUCGGGUUGUAAAGCACUUUUGUCCGGAAAGAAAUGGCUCUGGUUAAUACCUGGGGUCGAUGACGGUACCGGAAGAAUAAGGACCGGCUAACUACGUGCCAGCCGCCGCCGUAA
rnacentral:rRNA from 1 species